UUAAAUUGAAGAGUUUGAUCAUGGCUCAGAUUGAACGCUGGCGGCAGGCCUAACACAUGCAAGUCGAGCGGCAGCGGGAAAGUAGCUUGCUACUUUUGCCGGCGAGCG
rnacentral:rRNA from 2 species